rnacentral:rRNA from 1 species
AACGUAGGAGACAAACGUUAUCCGGAGUCACUGGGCGUAAAGGGCGCGUAGGCGGCUUUAUAAGUCGGGGGUGAAAGCCUGUGGCUCAACCACAGAAUUGCCUUCGAUACUGUAGAGCUUGAGACCGGAAGAGGUAAGUGGAACUGCGAGUGUAGAGGUGAAAUUCGUAGAUAUUCGCAAGAACACCAGUGGCGAAGGCGGCUCACUGGCCCGAUACUGACGCUGAGGCACGAAAGCGUGGGGAGCAAACAGG